rnacentral:misc_RNA from 1 species
AACACCUCAAGUCGAGAGAUCUUUUUUGAGAUCUUGAGACUUGGAUUUGAGUGAUCCUAACGACGAAGUCCCUUAAACAAGGACAAGAAGGCAGGUCGCUUGAAAUUCAGGUGCAGCUGAACUUUUCUUCUGAGCUAAAAGCAUUAUUUAUUUAGUCUCCUUUGACUAUUACUUUUUUGCUGCAGCUAACAUAAAGGAAGGAAGGCUUUCAUCAUGCUGACUGAUGCAGGAAUUUAGCGGAAGCAACACACACAUUGUUUCUGUUAG